ACUCAAAGGAAUUGACGGGGACCCGCACAAGCGGUGGAACAUGUGGUUUAAUUCGAGGCAACGCGAAGAACCUUACCAGGCUUUGACAUGCUCUCUGUGAAUCCAAGAAAUUGGACUCUUCACCUCGGGUGGGAGAUGCACAGGUGCUGCAUGGCUGUCGUCAGCUCGUGUCGUGAGAUGUUGGGUUAAGUCCCGCAACGAGCGCAACCCUCGUCCUCUGUUGCUAACAGGUAAUGCUGAGAACUCUGAGGAAACUGCCGGUGAUAAGCCGGAGGAAGGUGGGGAUGACGUCAAGUCCUCAUGGCCCUUACAGCCUGGGCUACACACGUGUUACAAUGGCAGUGACAAUGCGCAGCCAACCCGCGAGGGUGAGCCAAUCGCAAAAAGCUGCCUCAGUUCGGAUUGUACUCUGCAACUCGAGUACAUGAAGCUGGAAUCGCUAGUAAUCGCGCAUCAGCUCGGCGCGGUGAAUACGUUCCCGGGUCUUGUACACACCGCCCGU
rnacentral:rRNA from 1 species